AGAUGAUCUGGAUCUUGAAGAAUGACGACGAGUGGUUGAUGGAGUGGCUGUAGAUGGAGAUAAUCCGCCAGCUCCAAUAGGGGUGGUCCCAGAUUCAGAAUUUCCCACAGAUGCUGAGGGCUUUUGACCGGAUUCACAUCGCUGAACCCGAGGCCAAAGAAAGUCUUCAACAGCUGCUAAACUUGCUAAUGGAUCAAUAAGAACUACAUUCGAAGAAUAAUCACGGAGAGAUUUUUCUCCUUGGGCCCGACAAAGACGCAACUUAAAAGGUUGAGACAAUGCACUUAAUCCAGAAGAAAGACGUGCACUUCCACUAGAUGACCUAGAUGAAUGGCUCAGAACAACAGGAAAACGUUCUAAGGAUGACAAGGCAUUUUGAAGCUUCUGAACCAAGACAGUCAUGGGAGCUGCACUCCCUUCAUCAAGACUAGAAGGAAGGGCAAGAGCAACAAACAACUUAUAUCUUCUAAGUGCCUGUUGACGAAGCUUGC
rnacentral:misc_RNA from 1 species